rnacentral:rRNA from 1 species
UACCAACACCCCGAGUGGUCGGGACGUUUAUUGGGCCUAAAGCCUCCGUAGCCGGUUCUACAAGUCUUCCGUUAAAUCCACCUGCUUAACAGAUGGGCUGCGGAAGAUACUAUAGAGCUAGGAGGCGGGAGAGGCAAGCGGUACUCGAUGGGUAGGGGUAAAAUCCGUUGAUCCAUUGAAGACCACCAGUGGCGAAGGCGGCUUGCCAGAACGCGCUCGACGGUGAGGGAUGAAAGCUGGGGGAGCAAACCGG